rnacentral:rRNA from 1 species
ACACGUAGGGGGCAAGCGUUGUCCGGAAUUACUGGGCGUAAAGAGCGCGUAGGUGGUUUAGUAAGUCAGGUGUGAAAGGCCAGGGCUCAACCCUGGGACUGCACUUGAAACUGCUUGACUUGAGGGCAGGAGAGGUAAGUGGAAUUCCCAGUGUAGCGGUGAAAUGCGUAGAUAUUGGGAGAAACACCAGUGGCGAAAGCGACUUACUGGCCUGGCCCUGACACUGAGGCGCGAAAGCGUGGGGAGCGAACAGGAUUAGAUACCCUGGUAGUCCACGCCGUAAACGAUGGGUACUAGGUGUAGGAGGUAUCGACCCCUUCUGUGCCGCAGCAAACGCAUUAAGUACCCCGCCUGGGGAGUACGGCCGCAAGGUUGAA